UUGGGCUACACAUGUUUGGCUAUUCUGGCAGCUGGCUUGUGUUUCGUGGUGAGCGGGACAGGGCUGGUGCUGGGACCCCUCUGUUUACACAACAGCACUGAUGGCCUAAAGUGGGGACGGCCAUUAAAACAAGUCAAAACUGGAGAGCAGCUUUACCUCUAUGCUCCGGAGCGGUGGCCAUCUGCCUGUGUGGAGCCUCGACGUGUUGUGGUCUGGAAUAUGGCUCUUUUCUCUGUCCUCAUGGCAGCGAGUGGCCUUCAGCUCAUUUUCUGCAUUCUUCAUCUCCUCAUCGCCUUACUGGAGUUCAUGUGCAGACCCAGCUUCUGCAAGAAUAAGGUUGUUCCUGCUUGAAAUGACUAGAGGUUCUAUUUAUUUCCUCUCCAUGUGAGAAUGAGAAGGACUUUUUUGGGGUUAAAAAGCCAGCUAUGACUGCUUAACUUACUUUAAACAGAGAGAGAGAGAGAGAGAGAGAGAGAGAGAGAGA
ensembl:lncRNA